AUCAUCGAGGGAUCUUGUUAAAAUGCAGAUUCUGAUUCAGUAGACUUGGUUUGAUACAAAGUCUGCCUUUCUGGCGAGCUCCCAGGUGAUGCUGA
rnacentral:pre_miRNA from 1 species